AGAGUUUGAUCCUGGCUCAGAUUGAACGCUGGCGGCAGGCCUAACACAUGCAAGUCGAACGGUAACAGGAAGCAGCUUGCUGCUUUGCUGACGAGUGGCGGACGGGUGAGUAAUGUCUGGGAAACUGCCUGAUGGAGGGGGAUAACUACUGGAAACGGUAGCUAAUACCGCAUAACGUCGCAAGACCAAAGAGGGGGACCUUCGGGCCUCUUGCCAUCGGAUGUGCCCAGAUGGGAUUAGCUUGUUGGUGGGGUAACGGCUCACCAAGGCGACGAUCCCUAGCUGGUCUGAGAGGAUGACCAGCCACACUGGAACUGAGACACGGUCCAGACUCCUACGGGAGGCAGCAGUGGGGAAUAUUGCACAAUGGGCGCAAGCCUGAUGCAGCCAUGCCGCGUGUAUGAAGAAGGCCUUCGGGUUGUAAAGUACUUUCAGCGGGGAGGAAGGGAGUAAAGUUAAUACCUUUGCUCAUUGACGUUACCCGCAGAAGAAGCACCGGCUAACUCCGUGCCAGCAGCCGCGGUAAUACGGAGGGUGCAAGCGUUAAUCGGAAUUACUGGGCGUAAAGCGCACGCAGGCGGUUUGUUAAGUCAGAUGUGAAAUCCCCGGGCUCAACCUGGGAACUGCAUCUGAUACUGGCAAGCUUGAGUCUCGUAGAGGGGGGUAGAAUUCCAGGUGUAGCGGUGAAAUGCGUAGAGAUCUGGAGGAAUACCGGUGGCGAAGGCGGCCCCCUGGACGAAGACUGACGCUCAGGUGCGAAAGCGUGGGGGAGCAAA
rnacentral:rRNA from 1 species